UACGUAGGGUGCGAGCGUUGUCCGGAAUUACUGGGCGUAAAGAGUGUGUAGGCGGUGCUCUAAGUCUGUCGUGAAAUCUCCCGGCUUAACUGGGAGGGUGCGGCGGAUACUAUUGUGCUAGAGGGUGGGAGAGGUAAGCGGAAUUCCUGGUGUAGCGGUGAAAUGCGUAGAUAUCAGGAGGAACACCUGCGGUGUAGACAGCUUACUGGACCACUUCUGACGCUGAGACACGAAAGCGUGGGUAGCAAACAGG
rnacentral:rRNA from 1 species